UGGGGAAUCAUGGUCAAUGGGCGAAAGCCUGAACCUGCGACGCCGCGUGAGUGAUGAAGGUCGUAAGAUCGUAAAACUCUUUUCAGGGAUCUUAAAGCCUGUCUGUCAACAACAGGCAGGUCUGACUCUCCCUGGAAGAAGCCCCAGCCAACUACGUGCCAGCAGCUGCGGUAAUACGUAGGGGGCGAGCGUUAUUCGGAAUUACUGGGUGUAAAGGGUAUGUAGGCGGCCCUUCAAGUCGCGUGUCAAAGUCCAGUGCUCAACGCUGGGUGUGCACGCGAUACUGACGGGCUUGAGGGCUGGAGAGGUGAGCGGAAUUCCCGGUGUAGUGGUAAAAUACGUAGAGAUCGGGAGGAACACCAGCGGAGCAGGCGGCUCACUAGACAGUUUCAGGCGAUAGUGUACGAAGGCGUGGGGAGCAAACAGAGUUAGAGGCCCCGGUAGUC
rnacentral:rRNA from 1 species